rnacentral:rRNA from 1 species
AGUGAACGCUGGCGGUAGGCCUAACACAUGCAAGUCGAACGGCAGCACAGUAAGAGCUUGCUCUUACGGGUGGCGAGUGGCGGACGGGUGAGGAAUACAUCGGAAUCUACUUUUUCGUGGGGGAUAACGUAGGGAAACUUACGCUAAUACCGCAUACGACCUACGGGUGAAAGCAGGGGAUCUUCGGACCUUGCGCGAUUGAAUGAGCCGAUGUCGGAUUAGCUAGUUGGCGGGGUAAAGGCCCACCAAGGCGACGAUCCGUAGCUGGUCUGAGAGGAUGAUCAGCCACACUGGAACUGAGACACGGUCCAGACUCCUACGGGAGGCAGCAGUGGGGACUAUUGGACAAUGGGCGAAAGCCUGAUCCAGCCAUACCGCGUGGGUGAAGAAGGCCUUCGGGUUGUAAAGCCCUUUUGUUGGGAAAGAAAAGCAGCAGGUUAAUACCCCGCUGUUCUGACGGUACCCAAAGAAUAAGCACCGGCUAACUUCGUG